rnacentral:RNase_P_RNA from 1 species
GAAGCAGGCCAGGCAGCCGCUGGCCGGUACCUUCGGGUACUGGCGGGAGGAAGGUCCGGACUCCAUAGAGCAGGGUGACGGUUAACGGCCGUCCGCUGAAAGCCGCCACGCGCAAGCGACGGUGGUAUAAGGCGAGGAACAGGGCCACAGAGACGAGCGUAUUAAGUUACGGUGAAACGCGGUAACCUCCACUCGGAGCAAUUCCAAAUAGGCACGCGUUGAUGUUGCUCGCGGAGCGUGCGGGUAGGAAGCUUGAGCGCUGGAGUAAUUCAGCGCCUAGAGGAAUGGCUGUCCAAGCGGCAACUCGCAAGGGAAACCGCUACACAGAAUCCGGCCUAUCGGCCUGCUUUACAC